rnacentral:rRNA from 1 species
GACGAACGCUGGCGGCGUGCUUAACACAUGCAAGUCGAACGGUGAAGCGCUUUCCUUUUUGGUUGGUGUGGAUGAGUGGCGAACGGGUGAGUAACACGUUAGUAGCCUGCCCCGUUCUACUGGAUAACCGCAGGAAAGUGUGGGUAAUACGGGAUAUGCUGCGCCUGGUGCAUGGUGGGUGUGGGAAAGAUUGUGCGUGUGGGGGUUGUCGGUGGGGGAUGGGGUCGCGGCGUCUUAGCUUGUUGGUGGGGUGAUGGCAUACCAAGGAGGUGACGGGUAGCCGGGAGGAGGGGGUGGCCGGUUACACUGGGACUGAGACCCGGCCCAGAAUGGGACGGGAGGGAGGAGUGUGGUAGAUUGCACGAUGGGCGCAAGCCUGAUGCAGCGACGCCGCGUGAGGGAGGGUGGCGUUCGGGAUGUGAACCUCUUUGGCAAGUGAAGCAGGCCGGCUCCUUGUGGGUGGGUUGACGGUAGCUGGAUAAGAAGCGCCGGCUAACUACGUG